AGAUCUACUAAUUACAAGUGCUAUAGAAGAGCUAAGCAUUAUUAAUCAUGAGAGAAUAUCCAUUGACUUCAGCGGAACUGUGGCUGCAGGAACGAUCUCACUUUUCUGAAAGCGAAUAAGGUCCUACAGGACAUGCAGAGGUUGACAUUUUCUUUCAAACUUCCUUAUUUCCACUACUUGUCCAUCAUACAUAUGUAUUUGUAAAUCUGUGUCUUUACAUUUUACCCGAGGAGAACACUUUGGUUUUCACAAAGGAAAGAAAAAAGUCUCUCACAGAAGUGCUGAUCUUUGCAAAGAGACACAUCAGCAGCAAGCAUGGAGUUUGGUGGUUGUGGAUACUGAUUCAUUUUUCCUGGGGCCAUUCAAAUAAUAAGCCUAUCAUCUGAUUGCUUUCCUUCAUAUGGCAACUUGUUUUUAUGAAUCAAUGUUACAAUAAUGUGAAAACAAAGAUUCUCUCAAACUUUCUGUUAUUGAAGUCUU